rnacentral:rRNA from 1 species
GGAGCAAACAGGAUUAGAUACCCUGGUAGUCCACGCUGUAAACGAUGAGUACUAGGUGUCGGGGGUUACCCCCCUCGGUGCCGCAGCUAACGCAUUAAGUACUCCGCCUGGGAAGUACGCUCGCAAGCGUGAAACUCAAAGGAAUUGACGGGGACCCGCACAAGUAGCGGAGCAUGUGGUUUAAUUCGAAGCAACGCGAAG